rnacentral:rRNA from 1 species
UGGGGAAUAUUGGACAAUGGGCGAAAGCCUGAUCCAGCAAUGCCGCGUGAGUGAUGAAGGCCUUAGGGUUGUAAAGCUCUUUUACCAGAGAUGAUAAUGACAGUACCUGGAGAAUAAGCUCCGGCUAACUCCGUGCCAGCAGCCGCGGUAAUACGGAGGGAGCUAGCGUUGUUCGGAAUUACUGGGCGUAAAGCGUACGUAGGCGGCGACUCAAGUCAGAGGUGAAAGCCUGGAGCUCAACUCCAGAACUGCCUUUGAAACUAGGUCGCUAGAAUCACGGAGAGGUGAGUGGAAUUCCGAGUGUAGAGGUGAAAUUCGUAGAUAUUCGGAAGAACACCAGUGGCGAAGGCGGCUCACUGGACGUGUAUUGACGCUGAGGUACGAAAGCGUGGGGAGCAAACAGGAUUAGAUACCCCAGUAGUCCCUGAGCGGGCUGGCAAGGCGCAU